rnacentral:rRNA from 1 species
GUGGGGGAUAUUGCGCAAUGGGGGCAACCCUGACGCAGCAACGCCGCGUGAAGGAAGACGGUUUUCGGAUUGUAAACUUCUUUUGUCAGGGACGAAAUUUGACGGUACCUGACGAAUAAGCUCCGGCUAACUACGUGCCAGCAGCCGCGGUAAUACGUAGGGAGCAAGCGUUGUCCGGAUUUACUGGGUGUAAAGGGUGCGUAGGCGGCUUUGUAAGUCAGAUGUGAAAUCUAUGGGCUCAACCCAUAAACUGCAUUUGAAACUAUAGAGCUUGAGUGAAGUAGAGGCAGGCGGAAUUCCCUGUGUAGCGGUGAAAUGCGUAGAGAUAGGGAGGAACACCAGUGGCGAAGGCGGCCUGCUGGGCUUUAACUGACGCUGAGGCACGAAAGCGUGGGUAGCAAACAGGAUUAGAAACCCUAGUAGUCC